GACGAACGCUGGCGGCGUGCUUAACACAUGCAAGUCGAACGGAAAGGCCCCUUCGGGGGUACUCGAGUGGCGAACGGGUGAGUAACACGUGAGUAACCUGCCCUUGACUUCGGGAUAACUUCAGGAAACUGGGGCUAAUACCGGAUAGGAAUCCUUGCUGCAUGGUGGGGGUUGGAAAGCUUCGGCGGUUUUGGAUGGACUCGCGGCUUAUCAGCUUGUUGGUGGGGUAGUGGCUUACCAAGGCUUUGACGGGUAGCCGGCCUGAGAGGGCGACCGGCCACAUUGGGACUGAGAUACGGCCCAGACUCCUACGGGAGGCAGCAGUGGGGAAUAUUGCACAAUGGGCGGUAGCCUGAUGCAGCAACGCCGCGUGCGGGAGGACGGCCUUCGGGUUGUAAACCGCUUUCAGCAGGGGCGAAGCUUGUGGUGACGGUACCUGCAGAAGAAGCACCGGCUAACUACGUG
rnacentral:rRNA from 1 species